rnacentral:rRNA from 1 species
AACGAGACCUUAACCUGCUAAAUAGCCAGGCCCGCUUUGGCGGGUCGCCGGCUUCUUAGAGGGACUAUCGGCUCAAGCCGAUGGAAGUUUGAGGCAAUAACAGGUCUGUGAUGCCCUUAGAUGUUCUGGGCCGCACGCGCGCUACACUGACAGAGCCAACGAGUUCAUUUCCUUAGCCGAAAGGUUUGGGUAAUCUUGUGAAACUCU